CUGAAAUCUUUGAACCCCUUAACCAAGGCCAGUGACUGACUACCUUCCUCUGGGCUUCUUGGCCCAGUUCAAAGCCUGGCAGCUUCCAGGAACUACACAAAUCAGCCCAAAACCUGGAUCCUCCAGAGGCUCCCCUGUGACGCCAAUGCUGCUGGUCGAGGACCGUACUUUGGGUAGCGUGGCUCUUCAGCAUGGCUGACGCUCCAAUCCUUUGGCCACCUGAUGCAAAGAGCCGACUCACUGGAGAAGACCCUGAUGCUGGGAAAGAUUGAAGGCAGGAGGAGAAGGGGACGACAGAGGAUGAGAUGGUUGGGUGGCAUCACCGACUCAGU
ensembl:lncRNA